CACGUAGGGCGCGAGCGUUGUCCGGAAUUAUUGGGCGUAAAGAGCUCGUAGGCGGCUUGUCGCGUCGACUGUGAAAACUCGGGGCUCAACUCCGAGCUUGCAGUCGAUACGGGCAGGCUAGAGUUCGGUAGGGGAGACUGGAAUUCCUGGUGUAGCGGUGAAAUGCGCAGAUAUCAGGAGGAACACCGGUGGCGAAGGCGGGUCUCUGGGCCGAUACUGACGCUGAGGAGCGAAAGCGUGGGGAGCGAACAGG
rnacentral:rRNA from 1 species